rnacentral:lncRNA from 1 species
GACCUUGGGACCUUCAGUAAUCCCUAGUUUUGCUACCCAGUUUAUGCCUUUCUCUUAGAGACCCCCAAAGUUGGAAAGGCUCUUUACCUAAGAAUCUUACCUAAGACUGAGAAAUGAAUACUUAAAAGCAAGUCCUUUUUUGUGUAUGUGGUGUCUUUAAUAAGCCAAGGAAACUGAGAGAGACUGACAAAUAUUCAAUAGUUGCUAGACAUUUAGUUCAGUUCCACACAAACUCUUUCAAGGCCCUCAAACAUUUACCCAAGAGAAACUGCUCAUACUUGGGCUCAUGAGCCAUCAAGGUCCAGAAACCCACAGCUGAGAAAUAGAUAUAUAGUGUAUUUAUCACUGCUUUGGAAAGGCCAGUGCAUAACCUCAUGACAACUGCUUGAAUUCCUUUAGGGAGCAGCUAAUGGAAGGCUUACAGCUGGCCAGCAGGUCUUAGUAAGACCUUGAAACAAACAGUAAACCUCGAGGCUUAUUAUAGUCAGUGUCCAUUCUUUACCAUUUUUCUGGUAGCUUGAUUUAAAUAUGUAGCUUUUUGAAAUUAGAGUGGAGUUGAAACCCAUGAGAAAGGAAGGAAAAUUUUGAUAUUGAAAUUAUGAACUGGGAAAUGACUGGGUUUUCUUAGAAAUACAUAUAUGAUUCUUAUUGUAUGUUUAUCUGAAAAUAAACUGAAAAAAAUCUGGAGUAGAUGUAGGUUUUUUUUGAAAAGGGAGUGAGUAUAUCAUCUGUAUGUUUUGGCAGUUUUGGCAUUUCCAUUCUGAUUUUUUUAAUGUCUUAUUUCUCUUAUUGCAUUUAGCUAUGAACUAUAAUACUGUAUUGAGUGAAGGCAGUUGUAGAAGCAUUUUAGUCUCUCUGCAAAUGUUUCUGUUUCAGUCAUCAUUAACUGGGAUGUUUUCUGUAGAUCUCUGGCAGAUAAUCUUUAUCAGAUUAAGGAAGUUCCCUUCGAUUGCUGGUUUGUUUGCAAGUUUAUCACUAACAGUCUGUUCAAUGGUCUAGUUCCUUUUCUAUAUCCAUUAAUGAUGUGCUUUUUAUUUUUAAUUGGUUAGAUUGGUUAAUUAUGUUAAUAGAUUUUUCUGAUGUUGACUCAUUCAUAUAUUUUUAAAGAAAACCCAUGCGUAGUCUUUUUACACACUAUUGAAUUCCCUUUGCCAUUUUUUUCAUUCAUCCAUUAUUAGUCAAUAAUUAUCAUUUCCUACUUCAUCUAUUUUUGGUACCAAAGGUUUGCAAUUAGCAACCUCUUUAAAUGCUGGGGAAAUGUCACACCUUUUCUAUGCUCUGAGCCUGGUGUCAUUUUUGUUGUUUGUUUUUGAAAGAAUAGAUUUACACUACUAUUAUUUACAGUUUUUAGGGUUAUUAUUCUAGUAAAUUUUCCAUUUCUUCUCAGUAAAAUUAUAAUAAUUUAUACUUCCUUCUGAAUUUUCCCACUUUAUAUUCUCCCACUCUAGUCUCUCAUCUUUCUGAGAAUAUUAAGUAUAUAUGAAUGCACAUACUUACAUAUUUAAAUUUUUUCCUCUUCUCUACGCAUUUUCUCUCUCUUUCCCCAGUAUUCAUAAUUUUUUUUGUUUGUUCCAGUGUGGUCUUUCAUGUCAUCAACCACCUUGAUUUUUCAUUUAUGUCUAAGAAAGAAGCUCUAAUAAGCCAAUUGGAAGUGCUGGAUGUGCGUGUGUAUGUGUGUAGGUAGAAGGGGCAUAAAGUGACAAUUCAUUUUUCACUGGGAAGCACCCAUGCCAGUGUCUAUAGAUACAAUCUCUUGAGAUUCUCUGUUUCCCCAGAGAGGAUUCCUCUGAUGUUCUUUCUGGCUGCUCUGCACCUUGUUGCCAGAAUUGUGGGAGACGACAGGGGAGAAUGAGACUGAGGGAAGGCUCUCUGCUUGGUAUAUGGAGUUUUUCUUCAUCCCCUAUUUAUUUCCUUUCUUUCGUUCCUUUCUUUCUGUCUUUUCUUUUUAGGGCCACAUCCACAGUAUAAGGAAGUUCCCAGGCUAGGGGUCAAAUCGGAGCUAUAGAUGCCAGCCUAUACCACAGCCAGAGCAACACGGGAUCCAAGCCACAUCUACUACCUAGACCACAGCUCAAACGGCAAUGCCAGAUUCUUAGUCCACUGAGAGAGGCCAGGGAUCGAACCUGCAUCCUCGUGGAUACUAGUAGGGUUCUUUACCACUGAGCCACAAUGGGAAUUCCCUCAUCCCCUAUUUUCUACAUAGCGUUUUCUUUUACUUCUGCAAACAUGUCUGGAAAAUGUAAAGCUCUAGUACUUUACCUGAAUACGAGAGGGGCACUGACAUUGCUGUGCAGAGUGGAGAGGGUAUCCCCACCCUGCAUAUUCUGGAAGAACCAUUUAGAGAAUUAAGAAAGUGGGAAUGAACUCACUCUUGAGAACUCUGAAAGAUCUGAGGUUUCCCUUCAUUCCAAGUUUCCAAGUUAGCCUGCCAUCAGUGCAUGGAUGCAGGCAAGACAUGAGACACCUUGGGUUGGAGACAGAAGACAUUAUUACUGACAGCAGUAGUCAUGAUAUUUGCGCCAGUUCUCCGAGCCUCAAUUUUUAUAACACAAAGAGAGCCAGAAAAUACCCAAACAGGUAGAGAGUGGCAUUAGAAAGUGGAACUCUCAGCUUAGGAACCUGAAUCUGCCUUAAUGUGUGGUAAGCCCGCCUGCCCUGUGCUCCAGAGAGAAACACUCUGUCUUCCAAGGCUGUUGACUAUGAAGAUACCCUUGAAAUAAUAAUCUGGGACAAAGGCAGUCAAUAUGUCUGCUCACAAGACAGGUAGAAAUGCAAGAGACCCAAGAGAAUUGUCAAGAGUUCAGAUAUGGACAGCAAAAGCUAAAAGAGAAGGAGGAUGUCUUGUGUGUGAUGUGUGUGAGGUAAGUGCCGGCUUCUACAAUAAAGUGUAGAAAACAUUGAGCAUCACCUAAUGGAGGAAAAGCAGCAUGGCUUUUAUAAGGGGAAUGCAUUCUUUAAGAGGCUAGAUGAACCACUUAUUGUAUAAAUAAGAGAAAUAAUAUAUUUUAAGUUCAAAAAUUGGAAGGGCUCUCUCUAACAUUUGAGCCAUUAAAGUGAAGAAGCCUUAUCUAUUAUAGUUAUAUUAGAGGUAGGUAAUAAAGGUCAAGAUAAAUGGUUAUUUAUCUUCAUAGAUAUGGAUAUACUCCUCAAAGGUGUGAAAAUAUGAAGUCAAUGAAAAUAAAUGGCAGGAAUUUCUUUGCAGCUGGCAGGAAGAGGCAGGUAAAUUUCAGUGAGAAAAUGAAAAGUAAUAUAUUAGAAAAAAAGCAUAGAGGAUGAUCAAAGCACAAAGUACUCUGGUUAUUAAUUAAAAAGGAAGUAUAAUUUGAAGUCACUAUGGGCUUAUUCCUAAGUAGACAGGCCUAAAAGAUUUUUUUUAAGAUGCAUUUAAUGAGGGAGCAGUAAAAACAAAAGCAAGAACCCUUACACAAUUCCUUGGUUCACUUUUAUGCAAUGCAUGUGACUCCCCAUCCAGGCUACUUAGGAAGGUUCAGAGAAGAGCUGGGAAAUGCCUUCAUAAGAGUGGCAAGGGCUCCCAUGUGCAAGUAGCCUGAUAAGACAGAGACUCUGAAGUCUCCAGUGGCAGAAGCAGAAAAGGGAUGUGAUUUAAUUCAAUACAUUAUGAAUCGUAUGAACAGAGCUAAUAUAAGCUCAUUCAGCUCACACAGUACUAGGAAGUACAUGAUGACAUAUUUAGUUCAUUCAAAUUCAACCUUUGUAUUUUGGAAAAUCCCACACAUCAAGGCACUCUGCAACUCCAGGGUGUCAGCUGGGUCUCUCUUUUUUCCUUACUGGAGGCCCCCAAGGACUCAGCCUCUUUAAAGCUGCUAUGAACCACAAAGCCCUAGACCUAUUCAGAACCACACUUAUUUCCUAAAAGUGAUAUGAUUGUCUCUAAUAAUGAUGAUAAUCAUGGCCAACAUUUUUUUUUCGGUUGCACCUGUGGUGAAUGAAAGUUCCCAGGCCGGAGAUUUAAUCCAUGCCACAGCAGCAACCCAAGUGGCUGCAGGGACAACGCAGGCUCCUUAACCCACUGCACCACAACGGAAUUCCCGUGGCCAACAUUUCUUGAGAUCUUACUCUGUUUCUGUCAUUCGCUCAAUGUUUUGUUGUUUUUUUUUUUUUUUUUUUUAGGGCCAUAUCCCUGGCAUAUGAAAGUUCCCAGGCCAGGGGUCGAAUUGGAACUGUAGGCUGCUGGCCUAUGCCGCAGCCGCCACAGCCACACCAGCUUCAAGCUGUGUCUGGGAUCUACAGCACAGCUCAUGGCAACACCAGAAACUUAACCAUCUGAGUAACACCAGGGAUUGAACCCGCGACCUCAUGGAUACUAGUUGGGUUUGUUGCCACUGAGCUACAAUGGAAACUUGCUCAGUGUUUUUUGCAUGGAUUUAUUUGAGCCUCACAACAUUUUUCUGAGUUAAGUGCUAAAAUUAUCUACUGUACAAAUGAGGAAAGCAUAUUACAGACAGAAUUAGACCUUUCCCUAAGAUUCACUUAUUGAGACCUGUGACUUCAGAGCCUCUGAGCUAUAAUGAUUCUCUUGCCACUUCAUCUACAUCUUGAUAAAUGCUGGUCCCUAUAACUAAAUGUCCCCAGUGACACUUGCAUCAUUCACCUUUCCCUCACUGUCUUGGGUAGUACUUCUUCGAUAGUAUACUCUGACCCUAAGACUGAGUUAGAUGCCCCUCCCUUAAGCUUCUGUACCAUCCUACACUAAUCUCCAUCAUAGCCCUCAUUACUCUGUACCAUCAUUCCCUUUUACCCUUCUCCCCAAUGAUGUUCUGAGUUCCAUAACAUCAGGGAUUCUUUCCAAUUUAUUAUUCAAUUCAAUAAUCAUUUAAUGAGGGAGUUCCUGUCAUGGCACAGUGGUUAACAAAUCCAACUGGGAACCAUAAGGUUGCGGGUUCGAUCACUGGCCUCGCUCAGUGGGUUAAGGAUCCGGCAUUGCCGUGAGCUGUGGUCACAGAUGUGGCUCAGAUCCCGAGUUGCUAUGGCUCUGGCAAAGGCCGGUGGCUACAGCUCCGAUUAGACCCCUAACCUAGGAACCUCCAUGUGCUGCAAGAGCGGCCUAAGAAAUCACAAAAAGACAAAUAAAUAAAUAAAUAUUUAAUGAUAAACAAGUAUGUAGUAGCCAUUGAAUCCAUAGAUCUUAGCACAUAGUAGAGGAAUCAGAAAUAUUUGAGGGACAAAUUAAUUAAUACUCUUCUUUGGAAUUCCUUUUCCCCUUAAGAUCAAUUAUAUAUGUUCUUUAAAAGUAAUCUCACAGGAGUUCCCAUCGUGGCGCAGUGGUUAAUGAAUCCAACUAGGAACAAUGAGGUUGCGGGUUUGGUCCCUGCCCUUGCUCAGUGGGUUAACGAUCCGGUGUUGCCAUGAGCUGCGGUGUAGGUUGCAGACGCGGCUCGGAUCCCGCGUUGCUGUGGCUCUGGCGUAGGCUGGUGGCUGCAGCUCCAAUUCGACCCCUAGUCUGGGAACUUCCAUAUGCCGCGGGAGUGGCCCAAGAAAUGGCAAAAAGACAAAAAAAAAAAAAAAAAAAAAAAAAAUUUAAAAUUAAUCUCACAGAAUAAUGUAGGAAUUAAUUGCCACAUUGAAUAAGAUAUGAAACUAAUUGCAUUCACUCAAGCUUCCUGUAAGUAUUACCUUUUAUCUUUAGCUUCCAAUUCCCACUCCAAACAGGUCACUGGAAGUCUUCCUGGUUAAGUAAUUAUGUUUAGUAUCUCUGCAGGUAGGAAGCCUCAAGCCUGGUAUAUACUUAGAGUUUACUUAUAUAGCAUUUACUAGGUGCUCGAUACUUCUCUAAGCACUUUGUAUGUAUGAAUAAUUUAAUCCACACAAUGAUACUGAAGAAGAUACCAUUAGUAAGCCCAUUUUAGAGAUAAACCGAGACAUAGGGAAGUUAAGUCAUAUACCUAUGGUUACAUAGGUGUUGGAGGAAACAGGAUUCAGUCCUGGGCAGUGUGAUUCUAGAGGCUGUACUUUUAAUCACUGAGCCCUAUUGCCUCUCAUUACUCUCACUUUCCUUUUAAAGGCAUAAUGGGAUUUUCAGUUGUGGCUCAGUGGAAACAAACCCAAUUAACAUCCAUGAGGAUGUGGGUUCGAUCCCUGGCCUCACUCAGUGGAUUAAGGAUCCAGUGUUGCCACAAGCUGUGGUGUAGGUCACAGACACAGCUGGAUCCCACGUUGCUGUGGCUGUGGUAUAGGUUGGCACCUGUAGCUCCAAUUAGACCCCUCACCUGGGAACCUCCAUGUGCUACAGGAUUAGCCCUAAAAUUUUUUUUUAAAUAAAAAAUAAGUGCGUAAUGAUGGGAAAUUGCAUUUUGACACAUCAUGAGAGACGAUUUGGUAACAAUUUUGCAGAGAAGAACAAUACUCUAUUAAAGUUCAGGAUGCUGAGAGUCUUUUAACUUUUCAUUUUUCUUCCCUGGUAUUCACUUAUGUGUGAAAUGGCAUGCUUACAGGGUUUUCUAUUCCGGAAUUGUUUAUAAUGGCAAAACUGGAAAAAGCAUCCAUCAGUAAUAAGCUAAUAAAUAAUGACAUAUUUAUAAAGUUAAAAAUUAUGCCACCUUUUUAAAAAUUCAGAUAAUUCUUUAUUCUAUGGAAGGAUAUCCAAGAUAUUGUUAAAUAUAGUGGGGAAGAAAUUAAUGUGUUAUAUGAGCACAGAUGUGCCUGUGUAUUAGCUUGUAUAUAGGAGACAUAUCUGUGUAUUUAUAUAGUAUAUAUUUACAUAUACAGAGUGGAGAGGUGAAAGAAGGGAACAUGCUUACUGAUUACAUUAAUAUGACUUUGCUAUUCAGUUUUCAAUAAUACUACUUUACUGUUCCAUUGUCUUCUUCAACGUGCCAUUACUAUUCCAAAAAACUCUUGCCCAGGAAGACAAAAGUUGUGUAUAGCUUUAUUGUCCUAAGAAAUCUCUACCAAGAACUUAUGUCAAUGACCAUCAAACUAUUCAGCUUUUUAAUAAAUGGCAUAUAAUGACUUAACUCUCUAAGGCAAUUGGAACCUUCAUCUCAAAAAGUAUUGUUUUUUGAGUCUAUCAAUCUUAAAACUAUUACAUCAUGAUUCUUACCCAGUCCUAAGUCCAUGAAUUUAAAAGACUGACCAUAAACCAUACUCCAAAACUUCAUAAAUAGCCCAACUUUGCAAUUGCUUCUAACUGUGCACUGUGACUUGUCAAGGUGGUGGUCUCCCUUAGCAAAUUAAGAAUAAACUCAGUCUUGUUUAUCAAUAGGUUAUUUUGGUGCUAUUCUCAGGGAAACAGCAUUAUAAAAGGGACAAGAAGGAAGUUGAAAAAAGACUAGUCUUUAACUCUGAACCUGUUUUAAUUUCGGAUUUUUGUACAAGUUCUGUGUAUUACCUGUUC